UACGGAGGAUGCAAGCGUUAUCCGGAUUUAUUGGGUUUAAAGGGUGCGCAGGUUGUUUGAUAAGUCAGUGGUGAAAGUCUGUCGCUUAACGGUAGGAUUGCCAUUGAUACUGUUAGACUUGAAUAUGGAUGAGGUAGGCGGAAUGUGUAGUGUAGCGGUGAAAUGCAUAGAUAUUACACAGAACACCGAUUGCGAAGGCAGCUUACUAAUCCAUCAUUGACGCUGAGGCACGAAAGCGUGGGGACCAAACAGGA
rnacentral:rRNA from 1 species